GACGAACGCUGGCGGCGUGCUUAACACAUGCAAGUCGAACGGUAAGGCCCUUCGGGGUACACGAGUGGCGAACGGGUGAGUAACACGUGGGUGAUCUGCCCUGCACUUCGGGAUAAGCCUGGGAAACUGGGUCUAAUACCGGAUAGGACCACUGCCUGCAUGGGUGGUGGUGGAAAGCUUUUGCGGUGUGGGAUGGGCCCGCGGCCUAUCAGCUUGUUGGUGGGGUGAUGGCCUACCAAGGCGACGACGGGUAGCCGGCCUGAGAGGGUGACCGGCCACACUGGGACUGAGAUACGGCCCGGACUCCUACGGGAGGCAGCAGUGGGGAAUAUUGCACAAUGGGCGCAAGCCUGAUGCAGCGACGCCGCGUGAGGGAUGACGGCCUUCGGGUUGUAAACCUCUUUCAGCAUCGACGAAGCGAAAGUGACGGUAGGUGCAGAAGAAGGACCGGCCAACUACGUGCCAGCAGCCGCGGUAA
rnacentral:rRNA from 1 species